rnacentral:lncRNA from 1 species
AAAGCGAGAAAUGAUGGGAUUUUUAACAAUAUAACAAAAGGAGUGGAAGAGACUGGUAGAUUUUUUCAAUUGUUGUAUCUGCUGUGAGCUGCUGUUUGUCUUUGUGAGGCUGUGCGGCUGAUGUGUUUGCUGUUCAGCUUUUGCACCUAGCCUGCUCGGGCUUCUGGUUGCUGUCUGGUUUUUGGGAGGUGUAGAUAGUAGCAGUCUGUUUGCUGUUGUUUUUACAGUUCUGUGGUGUGGUUGUUAGUUCAGGGGACCAGGCUUUUGUGAGCUUUCUGUCAUGUGCUUUGCUAGAGGUCUGGUUGAGGUUUUUAGGGGUGUGUUUUUUCCGCCUAUAUACGGAAACCCCCGAUUUGGUUCUUUUGUAUUUCGAUUUUCCUUAUUUCGUGCGGGUUAAGCUUUAAUAAUAUUUGUUAAUUUAAAAAAAUAUGUAAUUUGGGGAAGAUUUGGCAAUCAAUCCUGAUGUUGGUGCGAAGAUUUGGUGUUUAUUUGUAUUUUGCAGUUUUGUAAAGGGAGCGGAUCCUCUCAGUGGAAUUUUUACUCGAGUGUCCAGUGCACAUCCUUAUCUUUAAGUUCUCCCAAAUCCACAUGCGGUAUUAAAUAUGGAUGGUUGAGAUUCCACUGCACACACAUUACACGGGAGAGGAUCCCUACCCGUAUUUUGAAGAGGCAAGCUGGUGAACUUUAUCUGCAGUUUUGAUUUUGAGACUAAGCUAAGUAGUCUCUCAAUUAAGUUGGACGGUGAUUUUGUAGACAAUUAAGUCCUUAUAACAAAACUGAAUAUAUUAACACCAAGGACUUAUCAAUUAUGAGAAGACAAUAUAUUCAUAUAGAAUGACAAUAACUUAUAACAUCCAACUAUCCAAGGACUUUAACGAUAGUCAUCUGUAGGCACACUUAGAAUAAAUUACUGUACCAAAUUACUUAGGAAUGAUUGUGACACAUUAUGUCACAUUUAGUGGAUUAAAAUGAGUGUUUACUCGAGAACUGUCACAAUGGUUAGUAAGCUCGUGAUGUUGAGCACCUUAAGAAUUAGUACGAGUGUAGAUGCAAAUAAUAUGUAUACAAUAAAAGAAGCAUUAACUUUUUUUUUGUGUGAAUACUCCGUAAAGAUUUGUUAUUUGAACAAUCAUUUAUAUGAUAAUUUAUGAGACAACUAUAAAUUUAUAAAAAAAAAAAAAUGUAAGCAUAUCAGCACAUAAAUCAAAAUUAUAGAGAGAGAAAGAAAAAAAAAGUAAAACAUAAUGUGAGUAUAUGAGAGAAAAUUGUCACAAAAAUUGUUAUAAAAUGGUUGUACAAAUAUCAAUUCUCUACUCCAUAUGCUCUAAAUUAUAAAUCACUUUGAGAAAUAGAUUUGUCAUAAGUUGUACAUUUGUUAUAAAAUGUUUGUAUAAAUAUCAUUUAUAUGUAUAAGUAGGAUAUGGCAACCACCCCCCAGGAAAAAUCAUACACCGUCUUCAGAUCUCAAAAGGACUCGAAGUAUGUCACAUCAACAUAUGUGACGCUCUUGUCUGGGAAAAUGAUGGUGCCCACCACAAUCAAUUCAACUAUCUCUCGACCUCACCACAAUCUUCAUCGCUAUCUUAUGUUGCCUCGAAAUUCUUCUUGAGCACACACAACAGUAAGAUGAAGCAUGCACGAGUCCCGUACGUCGUCACCACUUAUCGAUCAAUGUUAUCCGAGUCAACACCAAUUAGAUCCACCAUUAGUUCAUUCGCAUCAUGCGUUUGCUGUUCAGCUUUUGCACCUAGCCUGCUCGGGCUUCUGGUUGCUGUCUGGUUUUUGGGAGGUGUAGAUAGUAGCAGUCUGUUUGCUGUUGUUUUUGCAGUUCUGUGGUGUGGUUGUUAGUUAAGGGGACCAGGCUUUUGUGAGCUUUCUGUCAUGUGCUCUGCUAGAGGUCUGGUUGAGGUUUUUAAGGGUGUGUUUUUUCCGCCUAUAUACGGAAACCCCUGAUUUGGUUCUUUUGUAUUUUGAUUUUCCUUAUUUCGUGCGGGUUAAGCUAUGAUAAUAUUUGCUGAUUUAAAAAAAAAUGUAAUUUGUGGAAGACUAACGUAUUUCAUGCGG